rnacentral:rRNA from 1 species
GUUGUAUAGUCAAGUAAUGAAGUGCACAUGGUGGAUGCCUUGGCAGUCAGAGGCGAUGAAAGACGUGACAGCCUGCGAAAAGCGUCGGGGAGGCGGCAAUAUCCUGUGAUCCGGCGAU